rnacentral:tmRNA from 1 species
GGGGGCGUAUGGAUUCGAUUCCGCGAGGCAGGACAGGGCCGCAUGCCGGAGAUGGGUGGUUUGCUCCGUUAAAAAUCUGCCCAAAUGUCAGUAAAUGGCAAAAACAAAAUCAUUCGCGGUGUCGCAUUCGGUCGCAAGGCCGUUCGCGUCGCUGCCUAAGAUGCCAUUCUUUGCAAUGGCGCGGAAGGAAGUCGUUAUCUGUCCGAUUUCCUCUCCGUCGGUUGACAGGUUAGGUUACGCGCUCGUGCGGAUGUGUAACUGAAAUAAUUCGCACUCGCAGGAUGGACUUGCGCCGCAACAAGGUCUUACUGUUAAAUCAAAAGCGCGGCUAAGCAUGUAGACGCAUUGUUCGAGAGCGAGGAAGACGUGGGUUCAACUCCCACCGCCUCCACCA